rnacentral:misc_RNA from 1 species
GUGAAUCAUCGAAUCUUUGAACGCAAAUUGCACUCUCUGGUAUUCCGGAGAGUAUGCCUGUUUGAGGGUCAGUUUAAAUAAAAAUCGGUGUGGUUGCUGCCUUUCGUGGUGACGCACCGGAUUUGGGUCGUCUUGCCUUCGGUUAAGUGACCUAAAAUUUUGCAUGAUUUUUUUCGAACGAUUUUAAUUAUUUUUACUAAGUUUUGCGUUAUCAAUUAC